rnacentral:rRNA from 1 species
AUGUGGAUCUGUCUUCGUCAGCGCUAUGAGCCCUUUGGUGAUGCCUUAUACCUUUCUGUGGUUCGUCAGGAGCAUGCUCUUCAGCAGGGUGACUCUACUGUUGAUGACUUCUAUGCACAGAGUUCUGCUAUCUGGCGCCAGCUUGAUUCUCUCCGCAGUGCUGGUUGUCGUACUUGCCCCUGUUGCCAGGCUGUCCAGGCCAAUUUGGAGUUUCAUCGCGUCUACGAGUUCCUGUCUCGGCUCCGUAAGGAGUUUGAGCCCCGGCGUGCUCAGUUGUUUGCUCGUGGCCGUAUUUCUCUCAUGGAGGCGCUUUCAGAGAUUCGUGUUGAGGAGACUCGCUUAUGUGGUGCUGGUUUGCUGGAGGUUCCCUCUGUGCUCGCUACUCGGGCUUCUUCCACUCCACCUGCUGCACCGACCCCUUCUCGCUCGAGUGCUCCGCCGCUCUUGCCCACUCCUUCUGGAGGCUCAGGUCGCCCCCGUUCACAUUGUGACUACUGCAACAAUGAUGGUCAUAUUGAGUCCCAGUGCUACACAAAGCGGAAACAUCUGCGCAAGGCGCGAUCAUCAUCCUCAGGGACUUCGUCAUCUCCUUCAACAGCUUCAGCCAUUGCUUUGACUGAGCAGGAUAUUCUGAGACUUAAGCGUCUGCUCGCGGCUUCAGGUUCUUCCUCGACGGGUACUGCUGGUUCUGUGACUGAUGCUUCCCGCACUGAGCAACCGCCCUCUACACAGUCAGGUACAUCCCCAUGGGUUCUGGACUCUGGAGCUUCUUUUCAUAUGUCUUCUCAUUCUUCCACUUUGUCCUCUCUUCGAUCGCUGGAUUCUCAUGUUCAUGUCUUCACUGCUGAUGGUACUCCACUUUCUGUUGCUAGUAGAGGCAAUCUUUCCACUCCUUAUUCUGUUCCUGAUGUUGCUCAUGUUCCUCGCCUUACCAUGAAUCUGUUUUCUGCUGGUCAACUUACUGAUUCUGGUUGUCGUGUCAUCCUUGACGUUGACUCUUGUUCUGUCCAGGAUCGUCGCACGCACUCUGGUUGGGGCUGGCCCUCGCCACCGUGA